GGGCCUAUAGCUCAGUUGGUUAGAGCCGCCGGCUCAUAACCGGCUGGUCCGAGGUUCGAGUCCUCGUGGGCCCACCA
rnacentral:tRNA from 1 species